rnacentral:rRNA from 1 species
AGUGAACGCUGGCGGUAGGCCUAACACAUGCAAGUCGAACGGCAGCACAGUAAGAGCUUGCUCUUACGGGUGGCGAGUGGCGGACGGGUGCGGAAUACAUCGGAAUCUACUUUUUCGUGGGUGAUAACGUAGGGACACUUACGCUAAUACCGCAUACGACCUACGGGUGAAAGCAUGGGAUCUUCGGCUCUUGCGCGAUCGAAUGAGCCGAUGUCGGGUUAGCUAGUUGGCGGGGUAACGGCCCACCAAGGCGACGAUCCGAAGCUGGUCUGAGGGGAGGAUAGGCAAAACGGGAACUGAGACAGGGUCCAGACUCCUACGGAAGGCAGAAGUGGGGAAUAUUGGACAAGGGGGGAAAGCCUGAUCCAGCCAGACCGGGUGGGUGAAGAAGGCCUUCGGGUUGUAAAGCCCUUUUGUUGGGAAAGAAAAGCAGCAGGUUAAUACCCCGCUGUUCUGACGGUACCCAAAGAAUAAGCACCGGCUAACUUCGU